rnacentral:tRNA from 3 species
UCUGUAGCUCAGUCGGUAGAGCAGGGGACUGAAAAUCCCCGUGUCGAUGGUUCGAUUCCGUCCGG